rnacentral:rRNA from 1 species
ACGUAGGUGGCGAGCGUUGUCCGGAAUUACUGGGUGUAAAGGGAGCGUAGGCGGAUUUGCAAGUCAGGUGUGAAAACUAUCGGCUUAACCGGGAGCCUGCACUUGAAACUGUGAGUCUUGAGUGGUGAAGAGGUAAGCGGAAUUCCUAGUGUAGCGGUGAAAUGCUUAGAUAUUAGGAGGAACACCAGUGGCGAAGGUGGCUUACUGGGCCCUAACUGACACUGAUGCUCGAAAGCAAGGGGAGCAAACAG